GACGAACGCUGGCGGCGUGCUUAACACAUGCAAGUCGAGCGGCGCUGCGAACGGGUGAGUAACGCGUGAGUAACUGCCCCCCUCCCUGGGAUAACGGUUGGAAACGGCUGCUAAUACCGGAUAUGGGGGGAUGACUCGGGUCCUAUCAGCUUGUUGGUGGGGUAGUGUCCUACCACGGCGACGACGGGUAGCCGGCCUGGGAGGGGGACCAGCCACAUUGGGCUGAGAGACGGCCCAAACGCCUACGUGGGGCAGCAGUGGGGAAUAUGGCACAAGGGGGGAAACCCUGAUGCAGCAACGCCGCGGGCGGGAUGACGGCCUUGGGGGUGGAAACCGCUUUCAGUCAUGACGCGGUAGUGGCAGAAGAAGCACCGGCUAACUACGUGCCAGCAGCCGCGGUAAUAC
rnacentral:rRNA from 1 species